AGCAAUGCAGUGUGGGUAAGUAGCAUGCAAGAUUAGCUUAGCUAGCAGCUACAACUGCCUGUUUCUGUUCCUUAUGGUACAUGAAACAUCGAAUAGAAUAUAAAGAACCAGAAAAUAAACACGAACGCGCAAACGACGAAGCAGGAAAACACUGACAAAAACCUGUAAGCGCCGUUUCUUUUCAUGUCGGACCGGACAGAUGUUAAGCGUGCAAGCCAGCAGCAACUAACCGGCCAUGGAUACGGCUGUGUCAGGGACUGAAAAAUGGAAAGAAGAUGUACCAGUCUGACAGUGAUAAGAAAGAAAAACUAAAUCAGGUGCUUCAUGUAGUCUUGUUGACUAUGUUUGCUGACUUCACCAUCAGUUGAAAUCUUCACUUUAUAUUAACAACUAAGUUAUCUAAUUUUAAGAAGGCUACAGCGUUAACCUUUAAUAUGGAAGCAGCACAAACUAGGAGUGUAACAUGACUAUGACUGUUUUCCACAAAGGGCAUAUAAUAAUUAUUAAACCAACAGAAUAACUUCUAAAUCAAA